rnacentral:lncRNA from 1 species
AUGAGACUGGCUUUGGGUAUUGAAUUUCUAUCUCAUGCUGUACUUUGCAUCCAAGCAAGGAACCUCCUAACACCUUACCAAAGGCUGAAGGAGAUGCGAUGCCUCAGAACAGCUGGCUCUGCCUACAGAUUUGGCAUCCACUGCUCCUCUUGGAGCCCAGGAGAUGAAAGAGAAGUGCCAGAGGUACCACACAGCUGGAAGCUCGACUCGCAGGCAGACACAAAAGUGGAACAGGGAAGCAGGAGAGAAGAAACGCUCCUUUGUCUCGUGGUUGAACUGGUUGCCCUUGCUGGGACACAAGCAGUUCAUCUGGGCAGAGAAACCCACUGGCCCACUUGGCAUCCUGCGGCUCUUGGCACGCGUUAAACAGAAACAAAACUGUGCUCUGCUACUGAUGAUCCUCACAGCAGAAUCUCUGUGCUGUUUUCAGCCUGAGCGAAGGGGAGGAGAGGAAGGCUGCUGAAGAAUGGUAGUGAGACACAGAAACUUCUCAGUGUGGCUGUUAAUGUGUUCAGGUGGUGGAAAACUACAGAGGGAGGAUGUGGGCUGAAUGCAGCUAUAAUGGACUGGAAUUCGUGACACGGAGUAACUUGUUGGCUUUGUAAAAUGGAAUCACUUCCUAACUGUAACGAGCAAUCUUGGACAUGAUCAUUUUGGGAUACCAAAGCACUGGCUGCUACAUGAGUACUUGUAAUCCUCGUUGCAUAAUAGUGUCUGUAAAAAGCUUUUAAAAGGAAAU